AUGCCCUGUCCCUGCAGCCCUGGGUGCCCCCCACCUUCCAUGGCGCUGCUCCGCUCGGCCGCCCUCGCCGGCUGCGCGUCCCGCGCCAGGCCCUGGAGUUCCUCCGCCGCCGGCCCCUCCUGCCUGCCGUGCUUGGCCUCUGCCUGUGCCUCUGACUGCGUGAGCAGCACGGCCGCRUGCUGUUGGCCCAGCGCUGCCGUUGGCACAGGUGUGCGGAGCCUCGUGGGCUGCGGGACCAGCCCUGAGUUGUCGCAGCUGGCGGCGGCGCAUCGCCCACCUGCCCGCUGGUGUCGGGGUGCUCCUGGGCCCAGCGCGGCUCCUGCUCCUCCAGCUCCCCAGCUCUGCUCAGCAGUGCCUCACUCUGCUCUGGGUCCUGCUCCGAGCCCGGUGCCUCCGGGGGCAGCUGCGGCCCCGGGGAGCGCCGCCGCAGCGUCGCCUCGUAGCACAGCACCUGGGGGAGAGCGAGAUGGGCAGCGGCGGCGGCAUGGCCUGCGCGGAGCCCGCGGGGCGGCGAGGGGCGGCAGUACCUGCUCCAUCAGCGCCUGGCACCGCUGCAGCAGCAGGGCCAGGUCCCGCUGCUCCCGCUCUGCCGCGCUCUCCUGCCGCUGCAGCUGCGCCAGGCUCUCCCGGUUCUGGCGCCGGCAGAUGUCCAGGCCCUGCUGCAGCUCCCGAAUCCAGGCCAGCACCCGCCCUGGCUCCAGCACCGGCUGCCACCCAUCCUGGCGUGCCUGGGCCGCUCUGGGCUGCAGCACCGCUGCUGUCYGCUGUCCCUGGGACGCAGCACAGUGCAGCCGUCUGGCCUCACCACCACCACCGCGGGGACUGCCUCGGCUGCCCAGCUCGUGGCCACGUGUCCGCCUGGACUGGCCCAUCCUGGUGGCACGGGCGGGCGCCAGGCGUUGGGCGCUGCUCACCUGGGGCUGCCAUGGUGCUGGCUCCGGCUCCGGCUGGGUCUGCCCGGGGGCGCGGGGCUCCCCCAUCGCUGCCGCCACUCAGGUGCUCCGAGAGGCGCCGCCGCGUCCCUGGAGGCGCCGCAUCCCGGCCUCCCACCCCUGCCAAGCGCGGGACAGGCCAUCGCCAUCACCCUUGGCCCCUGCUGCGCCCGGCCCAGCACAGGGGGUCGCCAUGCUGCCCCGCUGUGGGAUGCCUCGGCCACGCUGUGGGGUGCGAGGCCCCCGCCGCGCCACGCCAUGGGGCCAGGCCCCAGCAAGGCCCCCACUGUGCCGUGGGGCCGGCCCAGGGCCUCGCGCCCACCGCCGCAGCCCAGCCAGCGCCACCCCCCGCACCAGCCCCCGGCCCCCCGACUCCCCGGCCCCCUCACCGCAGCCGCUGCCCGGCAGCGCGCUGGCCCCGGCAUGCUGCCACGCUCUG
rnacentral:lncRNA from 1 species